UCUGCCCGCCAAAAAUUUCGUCUUCGAAGAUCACACUCGCAACGCCUUCGACUGUAUGUGGUAACUUCUGUGAACUACGUCACUUCCUCGCUACAGUCUUGUGUAACGGAACACACCCUGUAGCCCUUUUUACCACUAGUAAAGGGUUAUUCAUAACACUCGUACUACGUUCUAUUAUUUUGCUGUCAAUCAUCUUAUCUAUUUCUUCUUUAACCGCCUCUUUCAAGCUCACUGGUAUCGGUUAAGGUUUACAGAAAAUUGGAGUAUUAUUUUUGAUCUUAAAUUUACAUACGUAGUCACUAAUAGUACCUGGACUAUCAGAAAAUACCAUUUCGUAUUCCAAUAGAAUUUUAGCUAAAUCCAAUUUUUGGUUGUUGUUAAAUAUUGAGAAUUCACUUACUUUCUUUCGUAUGUCAGCUCGGUGUGAUAGAUGAUUUAAGCCUUCAAUCUCUGGUGACAAUUGCGCUGUCACUGUUAAUCGUAAACGGUGAUUCUCAGUUAUUUGUUUACUUUUUUUGGGGUCUGUCACAAACUUUACCCAGUGUUUAUCGUCUUCUAGUCCAAAUUAAAGACAACUGUCCUCAAAAUUCAAUAUGACAUUAAAUUCUGAUCGCCAGUCUAGACCCAAUAACACAUUUCUAUUGAUGUUUUCUACCACUAAAAGUGUCUGAUGAAAUGGGACAGUCCCAGUGUUGCAGUUCACCUGAGUGUCGUAUUUCACAACUUUACUUUUGGUUCCAGAAAUGCGUACUGUAUACAGUCUUGUUAUUGGUAAUAGCGGGAAAACUGCUAUCGAACGAUUACAUCGAUAGGUCGUGUGAAGAAUCAAAGUGUGUAGGAUCUUUGGUGGUGUUAACUCUGCCGCGUGGAGCGUGGGCAGGGGGAGUCUGGCUGGAGUAGCGAGUGGAGCAGGUGUGUGGUGUGAAGCUCCUGCGAGUUGCCGCGCUUUCGGGGUAAUUGUGCUCGACUUGCGAUGAUAGUUUCUGACAUGGUGUCGCGGACGGGAAGCAUUAGCUGGCGCACAUCAAGAGCCCGUUUCGUCUGGUGACCGUGUCGAGAAGACGACGCGCCAACAUCCAGCUUCUGCAACAGCGACGGCCGACAAUGAGUGACUGUCGCCACAUCCUCGAUCGACAGCUUCAAACCUUCAAUCAACCAACAAGGAAGACUAAAAGCACGUAAAGUUUCAGAACUGUAUGGCAGACCUCAGCUUUUCAAACUGUUCAAAUCACAAAAUUACAGCAACUUAGCGUGAA